rnacentral:lncRNA from 10 species
GAAUAGAUGUACCCACCAAAAGCCUUGCUUGCAGCCACCUCCACGUCUCUCAACCUGCCUGAGUGCAGGGCUUAUGUUACAAGGAAUUCUCAAAGCUGUGUUAUCAAAGCUGUGAAAUCAAAGUCUCUACCCCUCUGAAGUUUACCCGGAUGGCCUGACUCAUCCCAGAUCCUCUGUUUCCAUUUCACUUCUCUGCUCCAAUAUCUCUGGUUCCCACUGACUCCAGGAUGGACUCCAAACCUCCCACUUUGCCUGGAAACCUUCAGAAUCUGGCUCCAACCCACCUAUUAUCUGAGGGUCAAGUCCUGCAUCAGAUUGUAUUUUCCAAUGUUGGCUGCAACAAGAUCUUGAUGUGACCUUGACAUUCCUCCCAUAGAGUGGUGGAGUCUACGUCCCCUCUCCUGGAGACUGAGUGGAGCUUUGUGACUGCUGCAGCCAUUGGAGUAUGGCAGAAGUGCUGUUAUGUCACUUAUGAGAUUGGAUCAUAAAAAUGCCACACACUUCCUUCCUCUCUUGGAAUGCUGAGGCCAUGUUGUGAGGAAGUCCAAUGAGCCCCUGUGGAGAGACCAUAUAGAAUGACUACUUUGAGAUGUUCCAGCUUACAGCCCUGCUCGGCCCUAGCCAACAGCCAGCAUCUUUCACCAGACAUAUGAGUGACGACCCUCCAGAUGAUUCCAGCUUCCAGCCAGUGAAUCACAUCUAGCUUUCAAGUCUUCCCAGCCGAGGCCCCAAGCAUUGUGAAGCAGAGCUCAGAAUGACCUCAUGUCUUUCUACCUGAAGCCUGCUAUACCAUUUGUUGCACACAACUUCUACAAUCUCUAUGGACUUUAUACAAUGUACUUAAUAAUGAAAAGCACUGAAGAGAGAGGAAGAAACAGGGAAAAGGGAGACCAAGUCAUAUCAGGAUUUGAAUUUGAAAAUCAUCCAGGAAAUCAGAUGAUGCCUGGAAGUGUAUUAACUAUCCUGAGCUGACAACAUGCCGACCCACUAAUGGAAAAUUGUGACUAACACACCUGCCAGGUUACUAGAUUUUUCCCUUCAUAGAUAUUUUCUUGGUGCAUGUUUGAAUGAAUGGAUGAUUAAUUGAUAAGAUUUUAAAAGAGUUCGGUUGACACCAAUCAUAACUGGAAGCAAAAGAGAUUCAUCUGAGUUCUUUCAAAUUAUGCUUGCCUGACACCUUCUCCACUUCAACUUGUUGAAAGGCCCAGGGUGAAUCACCUGCCUGCACAAUAUAACAAAGGGAACAGCACAUGCACCCAUGGGCCUCUGCUAAUCUCUGGGCUGACCUCUGUUAGCCCCAUGGUUAUUCUGGUCUAGACAGGCUUAUGCUGAGAAAUACUUUACAUUUUCUGAAGACAAGUGUUAUGUAAUUCUGGUGCUUAGAGAAUACUUAAAUGAUUCUUCCAAAUUGUGCUCCUAAUUUCUGAAUGUCA